UACGAAGGGGGCUAGCGUUGUUCGGAAUUACUGGGCGUAAAGCGCGUGUAGGCGGUUGUCCAAGUUGGAUGUGAAAGCCUUGAGCUUAACUCAAGAAAUGCAUUCAGGACUGGAUGGCUAGAGGACCGGAGAGGAUAGUGGAAUUCCCAGUGUAGUGGUGAAAUACGUAGAGAUUGGGAAGAACACCAGUGGCGAAGGCGGCUAUCUGGACGGUUUCUGACGCUAAGACGCGAAAGCGUGGGGAGCAAACAGG
rnacentral:rRNA from 1 species